AACGAACGCUGGCGGCGCGCUUAACACAUGCAAGUCGAACGAGAUCUUCGGGUCUAGUGGCGCACGGGUGCGUAACGCGUGGGAAUCUGCCCUUUGGUUCGGAAUAACAGUUGGCAACGACUGCUAAUACCGGAUGAUGACGAAAGUCCAAAGAUUUAUCGCCAGAGGAUGAGCCCGCGUAGGAUUAGCUAGUUGGUGUGGUAAACGCGCACCAAGGCGACGAUCCUUAGCUGGUCUGAGAGGAUGAUCAGCCACACUGGGACUGAGACACGGCCCAGACUCCUACGGGAGGCAGCAGUGGGGAAUAUUGGACAAUGGGCGAAAGCCUGAUCCAGCAAUGCCGCGUGAGUGAUGAAGGCCUUAGGGUUGUAAAGCUCUUUUACCCGGGAUGAUAAUGACAGUACCGGGAGAAUAAGCUCCGGCUAACUCCGUGCCAGCAGCCGCCGUAAAAC
rnacentral:rRNA from 1 species